UAUCGCUUCCGGUUGAUUUCAGCAACGGCGGGCUAACCAAAUCCGAGUUGAUGGAAACAUGCCAGUUACAGACUUGCAUAUUAUAAAAAAAGAGAAUCAUGAAGAAACAAACUGAGUACAACUGUUAACACUGAAGGGGUUGUGGCAGCAGCGAGGCGGUGGAAGUAACUUUAACCGCAAGACGCUGGAGCUGACUUUAGCUCUGACAUUAACAACUGCCUGUAAUGAAAAAUUCAACUGAACAAACAUCUUUUUCAGGUGCAAACGUAACCUGCCACUAAUCUGCCCCAGAGCCUGGGAUUCGCCCCGUUCUUACACACCGGAUUCUGCACACAAAACCUCCUGGGCUUGGCUCUGGUCCCUUCCUUAUCCUCUCUUGCGUCUGUUGUCUUUGGCUCGUCUUUGAUGCAAGAAGGUCUGGGACAAGAAGCCAACAUGACACUCUGAGUUAAAGGAAACUUCUCAGCUCUGGUUACAUCCUGCUUGCAUCACAUACACCAGGGUGUCCGUGGAGUUUUAAACAGUAUUAAAAGGUAGUAAAUCAAAUUAGUAAAUAUUAAGGCCAUUAAAAGGUAUUAAAAGGUAGGCUAUUAAUUGUCAUUUUACAAGGUAUUCAUUUUCAUAUCAUAAUUUUUUUGCAAACUAUGAGUUGUCCAUUUGUUUUAUUAUGUCUAUAGAUAAUAGUUGUUGAUCUUGUAAAGUUUGUAUGAUA